rnacentral:rRNA from 1 species
AGUGAACGCUGGCGGUAGGCCUAACACAUGCAAGUCGAACGGCAGCACAGUAAGAGCUUGCUCUUACGGGUGGCGAGUGGCGGACGGGUGAGGAAUACAUCGGAAUCUACUUUUUCGUGGGGGAUAACGUAGGGAAACUUACGCUAAUACCGCAUACGACCUACGGGUGAAAGCUGGGGAUCUUCGGACCUUGCGCGAUUGAAUGAGCCGAUGUCGGAUUAGCUAGUUGGCGGGGUAAAGGCCCACCAAGGCGACGAUCCGUAGCUGGUCUGAGAGGAUGAAAGACAACACGGGAGAGAAGAAGGGGUCAAGACUCCAAGGAGAGGCAGAAGAGGGGAAAAGGGGACAGAGGGGGAAAGCAUGAACAAACCAUACGGCGGGGGAAAAGAAGGCAUUGGGGUAGAAAGCCCUUUUGUUGGGGAAAAAAAAGCAGAAGUUAAAUACCCAGCGGUUGUGACGGCACAAAAAAAAGAAGCACCGGAUAACUUGGUA